UACGUAGGGUGCAAGCGUUGUCCGGAAUUAUUGGGCGUAAAGAGCUCGUAGGCGGUUCCUCGCGUCGGCUGUGAAAACCCGGAGCUCAACUCCGGGCCUGCAGUCGAUACGGGCGGACUCGAGUUCGGCAGGGGAGACUGGAAUUCCUGGUGUAGCGGUGAAAUGCGCAGAUAUCAGGAGGAACACCGGUGGCGAAGGCGGGUCUCUGGGCCGAUACUGACGCUGAGGAGCGAAAGCGUGGGGAGCGAACAGG
rnacentral:rRNA from 1 species